AUACUUACCUGGCACAGGAGAUACCGGAUCACGAAGGCGGUUCUCCCAGGGCGAGGGUCACCAUUGCACUCCCGGGGGCGCUGACCCUGCGAUUAACCAAAUGUGGGUUUAAAUCGAGUGCGCAAUUUUGUUAGUGGGGGACUGCGUUCGCGCUAUCCCCUA
rnacentral:snRNA from 1 species